rnacentral:rRNA from 1 species
CGUGUAGGCGGUUUGUCAAGUCGGGUGUGAAAGCCUGGGGCUCAGCCCCAGAGGUGCAUCCGAAACUAGCGAGCUAGAGCGCGAUAGAGGAGGGUGGAAUUCCUGGUGUAGCGGUGAAAUGCGUAGAUAUCAGGAGGAACACCGGCGGCGAAGGCGGCCCUCUGGAUCGUUGCUGACGCUGAGACGCGAAAGCGUGGGGAGCAAACAGGAUUAGAUACCCUGGUAGUCCACGCCUUAAACGAUGGGUACUAGGUGUUCGGGGUGUUGACCCCCUGAGUGCCGCAGUUAACGCAUUAAGUACCCCGCCUGGGGACUACGGCCGCAAGGUUAAA